rnacentral:rRNA from 1 species
AAAGCGUGCGCAGGCGGUUAUAUAAGACAGAUGUGAAAUCCCCGGGCUCAACCUGGGAACUGCAUUAGUGACUGCAUAGCUGGAGUACGGCAGAGGGGGAUGGAAUUCCGCGUGUAGCAGUGAAAUGCGUAGAUAUGCGGAGGAACACCGAUGGCGAAGGCAAUCCCCUGGACCUGUACUGACGCUCAUGCACGAAAGCGUGGGGAGCAAACAGGAUUAGAUACCCUUGU